rnacentral:tRNA from 1 species
CCGCUAUUGCUGAUGGCGUGGUCGUCGUGACGCUUGGUACAUCGUUGCUGCCCGUUAUCGUAAACACUAAGUCUUGC